rnacentral:pre_miRNA from 1 species
ACAUUGGCCAUUAUAAUACAACCUGAUAAGUGUUACAACACUUAUCAGAUUGUAUUGUCAUUGUCUGUGUA